rnacentral:rRNA from 1 species
UACGGAGGGUGCAAGCGUUAUCCGGAUUCACUGGGUUUAAAGGGUGCGUAGGUGGAUUAGUAAGUCAGGGGUGAAAUCCCGGAGCUCAACUCCGGAACUGCCUUUGAUACUGGAAAGCUUGAGUCCGGGAGAGGUGAGUGGAACUGCGAGUGUAGAGGUGAAAUUCGUAGAUAUUCGCAAGAACACCAGUGGCGAAGGCGACUACCUGGACUGAUACUGACACUGAGGUGCGAAAGCGUGGGGAGCAAACAGG